GCGACCGUAGCUCAGACGGUAGAGCGCAACCUUGCCAGGGUUGAGGUCGCGGGUUCAAGACCCGCCGGUCGCUCCA
rnacentral:tRNA from 1 species